rnacentral:misc_RNA from 1 species
AACGCACAUUGCGCCCAUUAGUAUUCUAGUGGGCAUGCCUGUUCGAGCGUCAUUUCAACCCUUAAGCCCUGUUGCUUAGCGUUGGGAGCCUGCCUUACCGCAGCUCCUCAAAGUUAGUGGCGGAGUUGGGUAGCACUCUAAGCGUAGUAAUUCUUCUCGCUUCUGAAGGCUUCCCUCCCCCUGCCGUUAAACCCCUAAUUUUCAAUGGUUGACCUCGGAUCAGGUAGGAAUACCCGCUGAACUUAA